CAUUUCUCUUGGGCGUUCUAUGUGUUCUCUCUGGAUUUUUCCUUCAGAUCUGGGUCUUCAACCAUUUCCGGCCUCCGAUUUUCUUCCAUUCCCUGCAUAUAAAUCAACGAUCAACCGUUUGAUUAUGGCUUUUUGUCAUUUCACUGCCGAUUUUUAUGUUUUACGCUUUCAAGUUUUCUUUAAAUUUUCUUCUAGAUCGUCUCUUUCAUAAGGUAUGUUGAAUUGCAGUUAUGUUGAAUUUGCAACCGUCUUUGUUUGGGAUCUCGAAGAGGAAUUAGGGUGCAGACCUUCAGGCCGCCGGAUCUUUGUUGUACGUGGAUGUCUUGGUUUCGGAUUUGCCGAUAUUCUUCUGGAUCUGAAUUACGUCGAUGGUGAAUGUUGCCUGAAGCUGAAAGAUCUUCAGUCACCUCUUAUCUUCGUAUGUGAAUCACAGAGUGGUGCAGCGAUAUACCAUGACACAGAUUUUUUGUGUUCGGUAAAGGUAGGAUGAGGGAGGGCAAGAGGGAGGAAAGGAAGAGGAUGAGAUGUGAAAAUUAUAAGUUAUGCGUAUACGACGAAGGUUGUUUCUUGUUGUUAUGAUAUGACCUUUGCCAUGUCAGGUGCGCUUGCAUGGCAGGUCGAAUAACCUAAUAAAAUUAUUCAGUUUCUUGUUUUUGUGGGGGAUGGCACGGCGUAUUUGGCCGGCUCUCCCACUUGGUGUGUCGUGUCCCCCUUCUCUCUUUUCCUUUUCUUGGCAUGCUACCAUUAAUUGGCCAUUCUCGUUGGACUGAUCGGAUUGUUGCUACCUCAAUCCUUUGUCCAUGCCAAAUAACUUGUAUGGUUAAAAGCAAGACCUCCGCACGCCCUUCAUGAAUGGUGCCAAGUCAAGAAGGUAUAUGGGCCAAUGUUCUUGACCAAUAUCUCAUAUACAUCCUCUAAUAUAAAAAAAAUUCAUAUACAUCCCAUAAUAUUACCGGGUCCAAUUUUCUUCAUAGUUCUUGGAAUAUUUCAUACACAUCCCAUAGCAUUAUAUCGGCCAAUGUUCUUCAUAGUAUUUGGAUUAUCUAUUUGAAAUAGUUAUUUGAUAGCAUUAUUACAUCCACAAAUACAUUCAGCAGAUUUACGUGAUGGCUUCCCAGAACGUUAAUCUUUAUUAAGCACGAUUAACAUUAUUCAUUCCAUUGUUGACCUUACAGUAUUGUUAUAAAAUAUCACUAAUAUACAAUUUUCCUAGUAUAUUGGAGGGUUUGCAUUUAUGCAUUUUUUUAAUCUUGUAUCAUGUUUAGAAAUUGUAUUAUUUAUGGCCUGUAGAUGAAGAACUGAAUAUUCAAUUGCGAAGUUUUGGUUGUUGGUUUGGGUUUAGAUAGUUACAUGUUUGUGUUUGUAACAUUUGCCUCAGUGGCUGUUUGUUUUCAACAUAUUUUUGUAUGUUGUAAAAGAGGUUCAUAAAAUAUUUUCUUGAGGGUGACCAUUCCAGCUAGGGCUGUCUCAAAAAUUUUCAGAAUUCUGUCAGGAGUUUUUGUGUACAUCACGGUGUUUGUUUUGCUGCCAAGACAAGGAGGGGCUUGCUUGCAGUAGUCCUCACGAUCAUGGCACAUUUGCCAUUCAUACUGGUGGGCUUAGGUGCAUUCUGCAGCAGAUUGUUGUAAGUGUUUGCAGUUAUUGGAUUAACAUUGUCAUUUUUAUUUUCUGUAAAGAUUAACAUGUCUUAAAUUGUUAUGAAGCAUGAUGGCAACCCUUUAAUUUAUAAAGGUUGUGAGAUUGACAUUUCCUAAAUUAUUUUUUGCUGUAUCUUAAUAUGACUGCUGUAUCUGUGUAGUUCUGUCACAUGAUCUUUAAUGGGCUUGUGAGAUUGGCAUCGCUUGAUUUCUUUUAUGCUGUAUCUUAAUGUGACUCUGCUUCACCAUUGUAGCUCUGUUACAUGAUCUUUAAUGUUGGUGGUUCAGCUUAUUUUGCCAUUGCUACUGGAUUCAGUGUUAUGUUUUCCUUCCCUUUGUAACUUGUACUGUCUUUUAAUUCAACCUAUGAGGCCCCCUCACCUUGAUUCAGCUAUCUCUCUCUUUUUUUUUUUUUUAAUUUGCUGUAUGUAAUAUUAGAUUCUGUAUUUUGGUUGUAACUUGGGUGUUGUGA